CGUGUAGGCGGGAAGAUAAGUCAGAUGUGAAAUUCCAUGGCUCAACUGUGGCGCUGCAUCUGAAACUAUUUUUCUUGAGUGAUGGAGAGGAAAGCGGAAUUCCUAGUGUAGCGGUGAAAUGCGUAGAUAUUAGGAGGAACACCAGUGGCGAAGGCGGCUUUCUGGACAUUAACUGACGCUGAGGCGCGAAAGCGUGGGGAGCAAACAGGAUUAGAUACCCUGGUAGUCCACGCUGUAAACGAUGGAUACUAGGUGUAGGAGGUAUCGACCCCUUCUGUGCCGGAGUUAACACAAUAAGUAUCCCACCUGGGGAGUACGGCCGCAAGGUUGAA
rnacentral:rRNA from 1 species